AAUUAAACAUAGGUUAACUCGGUCAGUGCAUCGUCGUGCAUCGUGGACGCAUAAUUGAGUAUUUUAUCGUGUAUGUUUGAAAUGCAAGAUAUUUCCUUUAUUGAAGUGUUAUUUAUUAAUUGCUUUUAUAUUUAGUGCUAAAUCAGUUGUAGAAAUUAGUUAAACAGUCAGCUGGAAAAGUAUUUAAUAUGAAACCGGCAAACAAGUCAUUUGCAGUAUAUAGGCCGCCUUCAAUGCAAAGUCUGUUCAUGUAUUGUGAUAAUUGAUUUAUCAUGUAAUAAUUGAAAUUUCUAACACACCAGUCAGAAACAUAACCUCAAUUCAGUGAUAUAUGAAUAAAGAGAAAGAAAAUUACAGUGCUGAUAACUCCUACGAAAAUGGAUUUCAAACUAGGGAUUUUCUCCAAUAGAGAAGAUAAAUACAAAGUUAGAUAAUAUAUUAGAAAUUAUUAAUCCUUUGUCACUAAAAUAAACAAGCAAGGCUUGAAAACAUUCAUGAAGAAAAAUAAGAACACAUAUCGAUUAAGUGUUGAAAAGAAAAUGAAUUGUGGAGUAUUUCUUAAGUGAUGAUAUUGUAUUACAGAAUAGGAAAUUCACAUAUUUAAUACGAAACCAGCAAAGUAUAUAGGUCAUGUGCAAUGCAAAUUCUGUUUAUGUAUUGUGAUAAUUGAUUUAUCACAUAAUUAUUGAAAUUUCUGACAGACCAGUCAAAAAUCACAUAACCUCAAUUCAGUGAUAUGAUAUGAAUAUUAUAGAGAAAGAGUGCUCAUAACCCCUAUGGGUUAUGUCAAAAUGGAAUUCAAACUAGGGAAAUUUGCUCUAAUCAAGAAGAUAAAUUGUCACCAAAGAAACAAGCAAGACUUAAAAACAUUCAAGAAGGAAAACAAAGAAUGGACCGGAUAUCACACAUUAUAUGGAUUAAGUGUUAAAGAGAACAUGAAUUGUUGAGUAUUUCGAGACUGAUGAUCUUGCAUUACAGAAUUGGUAUAUUAAGGUUCUACAUGAAGAGAAUUUAAGACUUAACUUUACCAAGUCUGAUUUAACUGAAGUU